rnacentral:tRNA from 1 species
GCAUUGGUGGUUCAGUGGUAGAAUUCUCGCCUGCCACGCUGGAGGCCCGGGUUGAUUCCCGCCAAUGCA